GGUUCUUUAUUUUUCAACACCACAUAACCACAUAGUAGAAGGGAAGGAGAAGUACGGGCAGCUGGGUUCUCAGCCAAGGUGUUCUUCUCGGCGACGACGACGAUGCAGUGCUCGGAGACGGCUGCAAGUGAUUCUUGAUGCGUGUUGCUGGUGCUCGACGACGGCUACAGGUGGUUCUUGACGCCUGGACUUCUCGGCAACGCUGCAGAGGUGGUCGGAGCAGCAUGCGUCCUCGGCACGGAUUGGGCGUCAGCAGCAGCAGGGGAUGGCAAUAGGGGUCCAUGAGUGCUGGGUAAAUUUUAUUUCCUUCUUUUCUAUGGGUUAGCUUAUCUCUAUUUCCUUCUUUUCAAGAACUUUAACACUCUAGAUUUUUAGUUAAUUGAUUGAAACCCGGUGACUGCAACAGUGGGCAGGGGUGCUUCUUUGGCUCACCAUUUCUCUCGCACAGUACGUAUACACAUACAUAUACAUAUAUAUUGAUAAUUUUAUUUUUCUGGGUAUUAUUUGUAGUGGGGUUUUGGUUUUGGUUUUUCGAUCUUAUUAUUAGGUUGAUGUGGUUCUAAGAGGGUACAGUGGGUACAACACGAGGUGGCCUCUGAAGGUUAUAGAGAAGGUUUUUCCGGCGGCUGAUCAUGGCGAAGCUCCACUAGCCGUGACUGUGUUCUUCGAUGCAAACGACGCAUGUCUUCCAGGCUGAUGCUCUGCUUUUCAAUACGUGCCUCUUGACAAGUAUAAGUGAAACCUUCACUCCAUUGUCUUCUUCCUCAAGGUUUGAUGGAGAUGGGUAUAUAUAUUGACUUCAUUAUUCUAGAAACUUAUUUAAUGAGUAUAUAUAUUGACGUCUUCAACAAGAAGAAUACUUUGGAGCUCCCAAAUUCAUGAAGAUUGGAGACCUGAAAGGGCAUUUUGGAUUACUCGCGGUGAUCAUGCAAAUUCUGAGAGCAAAGCUCAAAGUAUUAGAUCUUUCGUAUGGAAAUGGAACAGGUAUAAUUAAGCACAACUCAACUACACAUCUGGUA